rnacentral:ncRNA from 1 species
CAGCGGGGACGACCCCGCCAGUCCACGCCACAUCCGGGGACGGCCCCA